rnacentral:rRNA from 1 species
AACGAACGCUGGCGGCAUGCCUAACACAUGCAAGUCGAACGAAGCCUUCGGGCUUAGUGGCGCACGGGUGCGUAACGCGUGGGAAUCUGCCCCUUGCUUCGGAAUAACAGUUAGAAAUGACUGCUAAUACCGGAUGAAGUCUUCGGACCAAAGAUUUAUCGGCAAGGGAUGAGCCCGCGUAGGAUUAGGUAGUUGGUGGGGUAAAGGCCUACCAAGCCGACGAUCCUUAGCUGGUCUGAGAGGAUGAUCAGCCACACUGGGACUGAGACACGGCCCAGACUCCUACGGGAGGCAGCAGUGGGGAAUAUUGGAACAUGGACGCAAGGCUGAUCCAGUAAGGACGCGUGAGUUAUGAAGGCAUUAGGGUUGUAAAGCUCUUGUACCAGGGAUGAUAAUGACAGUACCUGGAGAAUAAGCUCCGGCUAACUCCGUG